GUGGGGUUGUGGCUCAGUGGCAGAGCGCUUGCCUAGCAGGCGUGAGGCACUGGGUUCAAUCCAGCACCACA
rnacentral:tRNA from 1 species